GAUGAACGCUGGCGGCGUGCCUAAUACAUGCAAGUCGAGCGAACAGACGAGGAGCUUGCUCCUCUGACGUUAGCGGCGGACGGGUGAGUAACACGUGGAUAACCUACCUAUAAGACUGGGAUAACUUCGGGAAACCGGAGCUAAUACCGGAUAAUAUAUUGAACCGCAUGGUUCAAUAGUGAAAGACGGUUUUGCUGUCACUUAUAGAUGGAUCCGCGCCGCAUUAGCUAGUUGGUAAGGUAACGGCUUACCAAGGCAACGAUGCGUAGCCGACCUGAGAGGGUGAUCGGCCACACUGGAGCUGAGACACGGUCCAGACUCCUACGGGAGGCAGCAGUAGGGAAUCUUCAGCAAUGGGCGAAAGCCUGACGGAGCAACGCCGCGUGAGUGAUGAAGGUCUUCGGAUCGUAAAACUCUGUUAUUAGGGAAGAACAAAUGUGUAAGUAACUAUGCACGUCUUGACGGUACCUAAUCAGAAAGCCACGGCUAACUACGUG
rnacentral:rRNA from 1 species